AAGCAGAAGCUGAUGCAGAAUUUGAUAAUGCUCUCAAGGAAGCUAUCAAUGGUGUUCAAGAUGCAGUGACGGCAAUAAAUGAACAUUUGGAAGAAGUUAGGUAUGAGAUUGCAGCACUUGAAGACUAAAGAUGUAGUCGGUUGACUUUGCCUUUUAAGUUAAAGGCACAAUGCUAUGAAAAGUCACCCCGUAAAUUCCAUGGCAAUCAAGACAUUAUUCAUCAUAACGGUUCCAUUCGUAUAGGCGGCAAACAUUUUAUUCUUGAUGGUGGCACAGGGAGGUGAUAUAUGUAUUGCAUUGAGAAGUCUAUUUGAGCUCUUAAAUUAAGCUUUCAAAAUUUGGUGCUCAAUUUUAUCAUAAAGAACCUGGGCAUUGUAAAGCUAAUUUGUCUUGAGCUUUUUUGUCACUGUAUAGUAAGAGAUAAAUAUGUCAAGUUCCAUGCCAUUGAUGAAAGAAGAGAAAAUGGCGAAAAGCUCACAAACCGACUCCAGAUAUUUGCACAAGUAGGAAAGGUAUUUUAUUUUGUUGAAUGACAAGUGCUAUGUAAGCUAACUUCCACCUAACCACAUUAGUCAGUAGAGUCUAAAACUAACUCUAACAGCUUAGCACUUAAAAAUAAUUAACCAACUAACAAGUUUAAGUAGUUAGUCUGCAUUUAUCUCAAGCUAGGCACAUUGAGAAUAUUUUUCAGUCCUAGCUUGGACAAAAAAAACGUGUGUUGGUGAGUGUCUGCUAGUAGGUAAGUAGAGGACAAAUAUGAUGGAAUUAGUAGACUGUUGAGUCUUAUCUCGGAUAAAAUGACAAUCAAUAUCUAUAUGAAAUGGAUGAUUAGCAGCAAUUGCAGUUCUGCAUAGCAGACUUGCUAUGACAAUUCACAAGGACAAACAAAUAAUUCUUUGAACUCACCAACUCUAGGUGCUAAGCUCCUAUUAAGCCUCUGUUGAGCUCCUUGAUAUAGUUACCUCCUUAUAUUUUCAAGAAAUCAAAGAAUCACCAAACUUGACCAAAUAUCCUGUUAGACAUCUUUUGGUGUUGGGGAACAAGUUGUUUAGAGUAAAUGCCCAAUUAAUAGAUAUCUGACAAUCCUAAUAGAAGCUUCCAUGUGUGAAGCCUUGGGAUGUUGCAUCAAUUGACUAAGACACUGAACAACAAAGCUGAAAUCAGGUCUAAUCACUGUUACGUAUAACAAUCUCCCUAUAAGUUUUUAAUAUUGUCACGACCCAAAGUACAUCCUAGUCGUAACAUGGCGUAUAGGACCUCGAGAGACCCAAUACAAGUCACUUAGCAUACAUAUACAAGAUAAUAGAAUCUUAAAGAGUUCAAAAGACAUUUGAAUCAUAAAGAGUUCCAUCAAAAACAGAAGUCUAACAUAAGUCUCAAAGCCACUAUUGGAAAGUGAUUGAAACGUAACCCAUACAUCACAAUAUGAAAUGAAAAGAUUUGAAAGCAAUAAAGAAUCUUGGUCCUCGGAACAUGAGGACUCACCAAUCUUCAAUGUCUAUAUGGGAUCACUGGCCACGAGUGUGCGGAAUGGAAGCGUCGGACCCUACAUUAGUGAAACAAUGUAGGCACAAGUAUGCAUUAGUACAUGGAAUGUACUAAGUAUGAUAACAAUGCAUAAAGAGUAAUGAAAUCUUGCUAAAAGGGACUUUAUAUGACAUGCAAUGAUCAAGCUAAAUCAUAAAAUAACAUGUUAGAAGACAUAAGUCGAAAUCAUGGUCAAUGCAAGCUAAACAUCUUUAAAACACAUUUGAGAUACUUCUAGAAGUAACCUUAGUUCAUUCUUGUGGGAAGUUUGCCAUUAACUGACAUAGACCAUGUGAGCUAUAACAUGGAAUCUAGUGUCUAUUCCACAUCGAAAAGAGAUGUCCUUACUUGCCAAGGUAAGAACCAUAAACUUCUAGCUUAGGUGGAUCCACUAGCUAAUCUCUAUCUAAGACAACCUAUGGUGACACAUAGUUAUGUGAUAGGGAGAUUGCUACUAGAAACCCAGCCUCAACUAUGGGAGAGCUUCCAUCUUGAUAUCCUCUCGGUGCUAAUUAAGCAUAAAUCCCACGGAAUAGUCAUUAAUCUUAACUUAUCUUAUUAUCCAUGGAAGGGCACAUGAAGUAGCCAAUCAAAGCUAGAAUUCAUUAUAGCCAAUCCUAGGUGAGAAAACCUUUCAACCUUGUGAAUCAUUUAUGUGAGCAAAUCCUUUCACAAUAACUUCAUAUGUGAGAAAUCCUUUCACAACAACAAUUCAUAAAGAAACAUGCAUAUCUUCAUAAAUUCAUCUUUCAUAUUUCAAAAGCUUCAUCAUAUAAUCAAAAUCCAGAAAAUUAUGGAUCAUGCAUGGGUUCAAUUGCAUUGAACUUAAAAACAUGUAGUUAUCUCAAUUCAUGCAUAAAAAUACAUAAAACAAUCAAUUGGAUCAUAAUUGAGAGCAACCCAUGAAAUUGAAUAAAACCCUAAUUUCAAUUGGAGAACUCUAACUUGUAAUAUUGGAGAAUUUAGGAACCUUAUGGAGGAAAGAACUCCACAGGUGAAUACUAUCAUACCUUGAUGUCAAAAACCCCCAAUCAAUGGUGAAUUUGGAGACUGGAUCCUGAAACCCUAGACUAGUUUAUCAAACAUAUCAAGCCUAUUUAAGAAUGACAAGAAGGUACAUCUAUUAAUUGCCUGUGUAGACUUUGGCCUAUUCAAGAAUGACAAGAAACAACAUGCAUUAAUUAGUUUUUGUACAUUUCGGGUUACCUAAAAUGUUAACAAUAACAUACUUUUUGCAGUCUUCCAACUGGGAUCUUUGAAGGGUAGGAUGUAAGCAGAUCUUACCUCUACCUUCGUAAGUCAGAGACUAAAAAACUCUCGAUUCAAAAGGAAAGUACCUAGGAUACAAAAGAAAUGUAACAAUAAGAGGUUACCUAAAUGUUACUGAUGGUAAUCGUCCAUAAAAUACAAUAAGUUAAAUGCAAUCAUGUAUAGUUGGCUCAUCACUUCGUUUGAGUUGGAUGUUGGUUUGCAACCAUUGCAGGAAGAAUCAGUACUAAGUAAUUAGGAAAAGGAAAUUGAACAGAUAGAGCAACAACAAAAUACAUGUUUUAUCGCAAAUACUUCUUAACUAAAUCAAUCAACAAAGAAAAUAAAAACAACAUUCAGCUGCAAAAUUCUCUUUUGUAUUCAGAUUGCAUAACGACAAUCACAAGAAGCUCAGCUCAAAAACAUAAAAAACUGAAUUGUAUCGCAACUUCAAGCAACAUGAGAAAUUGUAGCUAUAACUUAUAGAACAACCUUGAAUUCCUUAAAAUACCUAUAGAAAUAACCUAUUAUAAUCAAGAAACUCGCCUUGAAACUAUAUACUCAAGUGAAAUCCUCACUAACCACAUAACUGAAAAGUAGCAAUAAGAUGAUUUUCAGUUCACUCGAGUAGCCAACAUGUCUAUAGAUAUGAUUGCACAAGUGUAUAAACAAAUUCGUAACAAUGACCACGAUUUAAUUUUCUGACUGUUCUUCCCUCAUUUCAAACAAAUCAUACUAAUUACUCCCAAACUCCAAAAAAAAGAAAACAAUCAAACCAUGUAAAGACAAAAGCAUAAAGUACCUGUAACAAUUAGCAAAGUUCAAAAAAAAAAAUUCAAUUACAAUACUUAGAAACCAGUAGAACACGAAUUGAAAAUAUUGAUUCUUAAUUUCAGCUUCAAUUCUACAAAAAUUGAAACAAGUAGAAAUAGGAAUUACUUAACAAAUCAUAUAUAUAAAUAUAUCAAAAUAUAUUAAAAACUCGAAGAGAUUUAACUCGAAGCUCCAAUUCUCCUUCAGAAAUUCAUACUAAGAACAACUCUUCUUUCACACACACAUACACUAUCAUAGAAGGUUGUGAACGUGUUCAGAAAUUUCUCAAACUUGUGAGAAAUACCAAAACCCUACCUGAAACGAAGUUGAUGAAGCGAGAUCUUCUUGCUCCUAAGCAAACUAGUAAUGGAUGACCCACUUCUCAAUGGACUCUUCGAUCAAGACCUUCCGACGAUAACCCACACACCACCUCUUCCUUAUAUGCCGAGAAGAAACCUUGUUUUCUUUCCAUUUCCUGGAAAAAAUCAAAAUCCCAAAAUAUUUUUCAACCAAACAAAUAGACUUAAGGGUUAGCAUGAACGAAAUUUCUAGGUCAUAAAUUGCAUAAUCACAUAAGAGAGUAGAAUCUAGAAAGGGCACUUAGCUGAAGAGAUGGAGCAAAAUUCUUUAAGAAUGAAAUUUAGGUCUCUGCUUCUAUUUUUUUCUGGUAAUUACUCCUUAAUAUCGACAAUGUCUUCCAAUAAUAGCAUUACAAUCAAAAUGGUAUAUCAUAACAAACCCCUUAAACCGUAUUAUCAAGAACCCUAAUCCCCUUUUCCAAACCAAAACACAUCAAUAUCCAAAAAAGAAAAAAAAACUAAUCAGAUCUCGUCUUCAUGAAAAAGCAUAUUGGGAAUGCCUUUACUGAAAGGAAAUUUUCGGCCAGUCUCUGGACAAACCAAGGCACCCUCUUCAAGAUGAAGCUCAAGAAGGGCAUGAUGAAACUUCUGAACAAAAUCAUCUAAGUCGAGCAGAGCAACAUCAACAUUUCAGGAAGUUCGGCGUAACCCAUGGUUCUAGAAGCUUCCGCCAGUUCCUUCCAUUCAACCUUAAGGAACAUGUUCUUGAGAAAAUCGAUAUUAAAAUCAACCUCCCUCUCUACUUUCACAACCUCGAUCUUCAACGGAAAUCCAUUUGCGACUUCCUUGAUGUUGGAUGAUAAUAUAUUGUGAGUUAGCAACCUCUUUUGGAAGUUGGAAAGAAUUUGCUAAUGCGAGGAACUUUCGAUUUUAUAGGCCUUGGACGGUGCCGGAGAAAUUGUAUUUUCAGUCGUUUACGGAGGAAUCUUAUAAUUUUAGCCAAAAAUGAUACUAUAUCCCAUAGUAGUCUUAUCUUUUAGAAAUUGGGGGAAAGUUAUAUGGGGUGGGGGGGGGGGGGGGACUCUUAUUGCAAUUUUUUUUAUGAGAAUUAAUACGACACACUUAUAAAGUGUUGUUUUUCGACUUAUAAAUAUAGCACAAUUUAAAGUGUGACUAUAUAUAUAAAUAAGUGUUGACAAUUGUUCUAUGAUUUGGCAACACUUAUUAAGUGUAGCAUAUUAAAAAGCACACUUUCAAAGUGUUGCCAAUAUUUUUGUGGCCAAAAGCUGGAUAUAAAGGUCACACUUUAAAAGUGUGCUCUUAGAUACUUUUUGCAACACUUUUUAAGCGUUCUCUAGAAUUAGUGUUGCCAUAGGCCAAAUUUGUUGUAGUGAGAAUAGCCAAUCCUAGGUGAGAAAACCUUUCAACCUUAUGAAUCAUUUAUGUGAGAAAAUCCUUUCACAAUAACUUCAUAUGUGAGAAAUACUUUCACAACAACAAUUCAUAGAGAAACAUGCAUAUCUUCAUAAAUCCAUCUUUCAUAUUUCAAAAGCUUCAUCAUAUGAUCAAAAUCUAGAAAAUUAUGGAUCAUGCAUGGGUUCAAUUGAAUUGAACUUAAAAACAUGUAGUUAUCUCAAUUCAUGCAUAAAAAUACAUAAAACAAUCAAUUGGAUCAUAAUUGAGAGCAACCCAUGAGAUUGAAUAAAACCCUAAUUUCAAUUGGAGAACUCUACCUUGUAAUAUUGGAGAAUUUAGGAACUGUAUGGAGGAAAGAACUCCAUAGGUGAAUACUAUCAUAUCUUGAUGUCAAAAACCCCCAAUCAAUGGUGAAUUUGGAGACUUGAUCCUGAAAUCCUAGACUUCUUCUUCAAGCUUUAGAGAGAGAAAUUUUGGGGGAAGAACUUGGUCAACUUUUGGGAUUUUAGGAGAAUAAGUUCAAUUAGGUAAUUUGGGGGUUAAAAACGUUUAUAUAGGGCCUAGGGUAGAAGGUAAAACGACAUAGUAUUGAGUUAAAUCAAUUAUGAAAUUACCUAAAAGCCCUUAAAAUAAAAUUGCCGAACCUUCACUGACGGUUCAGACCUAUAGUCUGUAGGUCCUUCUAUGGAUCGUCCCGGUCAACCGUAGGUGGGGUUCAGGGACUUGUUUUUGGACCUUCAAACUAAGUGGCCCAUGUACGGUUGGUAGGUCUACCUACAGAGCGUACAUGGCCACCGUAGGUCCUAAAAACUUCCAAAAAAUUUACUUCCUUUUUCCUUGUCACCUCCGCAUGCAACCUACGACCCAUAAAUGAUCUUACCAACCAUAGGUGGGAGCCGUAGGUCACAGCUAAAACCCAGAAACUGCAUUUUCUAUUCUUCUAAAAUCUGAGGUAUUACAAAUAUCUCCCUGGAUCGGGCAAAGAUCCUAUCAUAAUUAUCACCAACAUGUUUAUCAAAUCCAACAAUGAUGUACUUGAGAGUAAGCUCCAUGGGAGAUUGAUGUUUGCGUAAUCAAGACACAACUUCCGAUGCAAGUUUCUACGAUCGUACAAUAGUUUAGUAAACCAACCAAGGGUUGGGGUCGAGGUGACGCAAGCGUCAAAUAUCAAAUGGGGGUUUGUAAGCAAGAAACAACCAAAACAGUGAGAAUAAGGAAAAAUACAAGUAUGGAGACGAGAUUCUUGAGAUGUGAUAGGAAUAUGGGAUAGACUAAAAUCAUUGGGUACAUGCUUUUGAUAUUAAAUUCAUUGGAAUAAGGAAAAAUACAAGUAUGGAGACGAGAUUCUUGAGAUGUGAUAGGAAUAUGGGAUAGACUAAAAUCAUUGGGUACAUGCUUUUGAUAUUAAAUUCAUUGAGUAUUUGUGACUAGGCUAGACUUUAAGGGGGAUAAGCUCUCUCUUGAGCAACUUACCCCGUUUCAAAUGCGUUCCUCUCGGACACCCACUUGCCGCAUGAAGAACAACCUCCGCCUUAACCGACUCUCUCGAGCUGAGUGUGUGGACAUGGAAGUAGGGUUCACUCUCUCGAGCUGAACCUCAUAUCGACCCACUCACACUGGCCAUCAAUUUAGUGGUCUUAGUUUUACGACUUCUCUCUCUCGCAAGCCGAAAACACAUAAAUAAACUUGUAUUUGCAACUACAAAUUCACUAAAUUCAUCCACAAUCACUAAACGAAAUCACAUUUAAACUACGAAUAGACAAUCAUCAAGCAAGACCCAAUAACUAAUCUAACCCAUAUUCACAAAAUCACACCCCAAGAAUUGGCGUUUUAGCUACGCAUGUAAAAGAGAUAAAGACGUAUACCAAUAUCAGUUUCCAUCAAUGGGUAUGCAAGAUUAAGUCUUAAAACAAGCCAAGAGUGAAGAACCCAAGAGACCCAAGUCCAAUUCCUUGAAUUUGAAACCCUUUGAAAGCUCCAAGUUCUUUAAAACCCUCUCCAACACUUAGAGAGAAUGUUGCAAAAUUGUACUAAGAAGGAAUUGCAACGCUGACAAGUCACUGAUGAAGACCAAGACAUUGUGGAUACCAAGUCUUUUAUGGAUUUCAGAAAUGAGAAGUAUAACAAAGACAGGCAAUAAGUUGGAGAAUGACAUUGCUAAGAGUGGAGGAGAUUGUGGUAAAAGUAAGGAAGUACAUCAACAACACUACAAGACUCAAAAUACCCAUAAGUUUGAUAACAACAAGUCAAUUGGUCGUUAGAGCUAUACGUAAAAGAAAGCAUAGUCCAAGAGGAAGGGAUGCAACAUAUGCAGAGGGCCACAUAGUUUGAAGGAUUGUCUCGACUUAAAAAGUCUUAGCGCUAUGGUGCAUGAACAUAAGAAGAAAGAACAAGAAAAUAGUUCAGUAACAACUCAAUUAGGAGUGGUUGGACUAUGUGAAUCCAUCACAAAGUCAGCUAGCCUAGUUAACGAGAAUAGAAAUCAGUACGCGGAUGUAACGCCCCAAAAAUUACAACACAAAUUAGACCUUGAGUUUUUUAGAAUGCUGCCACGGAAGAAAUCUACGGAUCGUAGAAGUAUCUACGGACCGUAGGUGGGUUCGUAGAAUCAUGCUCUAAAAAUUGUUCUCAGGUCCAAGUUUCACGGACCAGACUACGACUCAUAGAACCUUCUACGGUUCAUAGAAAGGCCUCGUGGAACUCAAGUCCAGAUACAAUCCUAUUAAGUUUCCUACGAUUGAGCAGGACGACCUAUCAAAGUUCCUACGGGGCCAAAGAAAGGAUUUGCAGACCCCAACUACAAAGAUCCAGAACCCAACAUGUUUUCUACGAGAGAGUCUAUGGUCCGUAAACUUUUGUACAAACCGUAUAUGGCCUUUUGUAGACAACUUCUGUUAGUUUUAAGAGGGUUUAGUUUUUGUCUUUUCCACCCUUUAUAAACCUAUACCUCGAUAUUUAUACACCUAAUUAAGGUCAUAAGAAACCCCUAGCACAAACUUAAGUUGAAAGCUUCCUUACCAAUUAAGUUAGGAGAUAAGAUUAUACUUAGGUCAACUUCAGAUGAUCAUAUCUCUUAGCAUAUAAUGAAUUAGGUGGCACAUGACCUAUCAAAUUAAAGAUAUAUGAGUCCUGUUUCCAAUUCCACCAUGUUUGCCUCAUUUUCAGCUCAGAGUAAAAAGUAAUACCCAUUUUAGUGAAGAUUUGUCAGGCAGUCGAUGUUCUACAACUGGACCUACGGACAAUGGAAAUUUCCACGAAUUGUAGACCCUUCCAUGAAGGCUUGCUGCAAUUUUUUCUGCAACUUUCUACACGCGUUCUAGGGUUAUUUUGGUCAUUUUCCAAGCUUUUAAACCUUAUUAUAUGUCAUUUUUGAGUAUUUUAACUGAGUAUAUCAUUCAAAUAACUAGUUUUCCUCUCAUAAUCAAUAAUAUAAACAUUCAAGUAUUUAGAAAUUCACUUAAAACUCAACUAGGGUUCCUCUUCUCCAUCAAGAACCCUAAAACUUCAAGUAAAAAAUUAAAGAUACAAAGAGAAACUUUCCAUUGAAGGUUUCCCAAGUUCUGUCAGUCUAAGAACUUCAUAAUUCUUUUCUCAAGAUCAAGCCCCAAGAUUCCAUGCUCAAAGACUUCCUCCAAGAAAGCUAAUGUUCUUUCUCAAGCUCAAGAUAAAUGAUGUCUCCACUAAAGUUUUCAAUCUAAUAGCUUUAUAAUCAGCUACGUAAGGCUAUCAUAAUGAUCGACAGAGUUCGUCCUCACGCCCUACAUCUAUCUAAAUUCAGUAAACGAGUAAUAUUGGGUUUUAUCCCCCUUUUUGAAUAUUCUUGAGACGAGUUAUAUUGUUAAGUUAUGAGUUCUUAAUUCCUGAGUAUUGAGUUAUUUUUCAUUGUAUUGAGAUCCUUGAUGUUAUUUGUUCAUGUCUAUAUUCAACAUGAACCCUACUGUUGAGUUAAAUUUGAGAAUCUUUUCAAAACAAAUGUUUUGUCUUUAAAUUGAUAUAUGAGUAGAGAAAAUUAUGAGUUUUGAGAAAAAGUUUUCAAAUAUGAAUUGAGUAAGAGUAUAAGGGAACUAAGUAUUCCCAAAGGUAUCACCUUUUACAUUGAUAAACUAGAAACUUUGAUUUCUAAAUGAGUUAAUGAGUUCAGAGAUAUUUCAGAGCAGUUACCUUUUUAACAGGAUAAUUCUAGUAAUUACCUCAAAUUGAGAAAGAGUAUGCUUUACACAUUUGAGCAUGAGUAUAUAUUUAUUGGGAGUCAUGUUGAGCAUCGAUAUGUGGAUGAGUUUAGACAACUCACAUUCCUCAUAAACCACGUGGCUAAUAUGGAUAAAGGAUUGUACUUUUUAGACGACUCCUUGUUUCUUUCAAGCAGAGGUUUAGUGGUUCUACUUAGUUGACAUGUUCUAUAUCCUGGCAAGUUAUAGGAUAGUUCUGGCAGCGUGGGCAAGCUGUUGUAUCAUCACGUUGAUCAUAGUGAUGGUUGAUGGUUAAAGAAUCUCCCAAAUAGAGUUAAAAGUGUAUUUUUAUCAUAUCACUUUAUAUGUUGAGUUCAAAGAUAAGUAAGUAUUUGUAAAGUUUAAUUGAUUUCACUCCUUUAUUUAUUUACAUUCCAUUUAGUAUCUUGCUUCAACUUCUUUAGUUAAGUUGUUUAUUUUCCUCGGCUAUAUUGCAUACUCGCAUAUUUCAAUGUACUGAUGUCAUUCAACCUGCAUCUUUUCAUGAUGCAUAUAUAGGUGUUCAUGAUCAUCAACAGGUGCUUCGUUGAGAUCACUUUGAACUUCUUGUUAGCUUUGGUGAGCCUUCUUUGAAUUCCGAAGGACUCCACUUUUGUCUUUUAGUUUAGUAGUUUUGAGUUGUCGUGGGUCUUGUUCCAACAUUAAUGUUGAACUAUAGAGGCUUCAUAGAUAGUUAGUGUUGUGUUUCUUUUACUAUUUCCUUUGAACUAUUUUUGCAAACUAUUAUUGUUUUCAGAGUAUUUUCAGACAAUUUUGAGUACUAUUUUGAAAUAGUUUGAGAAGUUUUGAGAUUUUGAAUUUAAAUUAUGUUUUAAAGCUUAAUCUGCUUGAGUUAGUCUUCUGCUAAGUAGUCAUCCAGGCCAAGGGUUUUCUUGGGGAUCAACAAUGGUUCUCAAAUGUCGGCCAUGUCAAGGGUGUAGGCUCCAGGCAUGACAAUGGACCUUAUAAUCAACAAUAAUAUUGCUCAUGCAUUGGUUGACACUGGAUCAACUCAUAAUUUUAUGACCGAGGCUGCAAUGAAGAGGCUAGAGUUGAAGCAUGCUCAAACUAAUUAUCGCAUCAAAAUCGUGAUUGCCGAUCCUUAAAAUUUUCAUGGUGGUGCUAGUGGUGUUGAUGUCAAAUUGGGAAAUUGGAAAGGUACGACAUAAUUUUCCAUUACAAAAUAGACAUCUAUGAUAUUAUUCUAGGGCAAGAGCACACAAUGUCAUAUCUUGAUCGAUCCCUACCUUCAUUUUCUCUUGGUCAUAGAACAAGAAGGGGCUUGCAUGGUGCCUUAAUAACUAUAUUGGUAACACCUAUGAAGUGCAAAAGAUAACUUGACAAUUUAAAAGUAGAGAAAAUUGUUGGUGCAAUGUUUUACGGGACCUAUGCACAUGCCAUAGUUGGCUCCAUGACCCGUGGAAGUGGCUCGGGGAGUGAUUUUGAAAAAUGGGAAAAAUAUUCAGUCUCUAAUCCAUUUUCACGAGCCAAUAGGAUGACUCAUGGUUAGAUUCACAACUGAUGGAUGGUGGGUCGUAGUUCUCACCAGAGGGUCUUCAGAUUCUUAAGUAGUACAUGUUCCUAUCAACUUUGCUCAGUCUUGGUGAGUCUUCAUGGUUCAAGGACUCGCCACUUAUGUUACUUUUAUAUCAUUCAGACUUUACUUCAGUUUCAUAUGUUUCGAGUGAGCAAGGGCUUGUAUUUAGAUUUUCCAUGUUAUGUUGAGUUUACCAUUUGAAACUACAACUUCACUUAUAUUUUUUACAUAGUUAUGUUGUUGUCUUAGUGUCAUGUAUGCCAUGUGGUUUGCUUGGGGUCUCUCGGGACUCUAGGUACCAUAUCACAUCUAGGGUAAGUCUUGGAUCUUGACAAACUUGUUAUUAAAAACAUCAGGUUCAAGUGUCUUAGGGUGUCUCAGAGCCGCGUUAAGUAGAAUUUUGUUCAUAGGUGUGAAGCGCACCAUAUUUAUGAAUGAGAAGGUAUGAGACGCUUAAGAAACUUUACUUCUUUUAUAACUCUUAAGUCGUGUGACAGAGUUGAACUCUAUAAGGUUGCCUACUAACUCAUUUUCUAUAUGUUUCAGAAUGAUGCUUCCAAGAAGAGAUCCGGUGAGAAGGAACUUGAAUGCGGAGCAAGAAGCACCACAAUCUCAUUGAUCCUUUGGCCAAGCAAGUCACUCAUGCCGAGCUUAGGGCUGCUUCCCAAUAAUUUGCCCAAUCCAUGAUUUUUCAAGCUAAUUGUGAAGUUGUAGCUGUCGUGAACCCAAAUAUAGGAAUGGCGACAACUAGGGUUCAAGACUCCACAAGGAUGAAUCCUCCAGAAUUCCAUCGUUCUAAUGUUGAUAAGGAUCCACAAGAGUUCGUAAAGGGGAUUUAAAAGAUUGUUUAGAUUAUGUGCGUCACUCCGAUUGAGAGUGUAGAAUUGGAUGCAUGUUAAUUGAAUAGGAUCUCUCAAAUUUGGUUCAAUCAAUGGAAGGAAGAAAGGACUAUUGAUGCAAAUCCUUUAGAUUGGGAUAAGUUCAAAGGUGCUUUUUUAGAUCGAUUCUUCCCUUUUGAGUUGAGAGAGACAAAGGUGCAAGAGUUCAUCAAUUUGAAGCAAGGUAUUAUGAGUGUGAAUGAGUAUUCUUUGAAAUUCACUCAACUCUCCAAGUAUGCUCCAGCUAUGGUGGUUGACUCUAGAGCCUGUAUUAACAGGUUCAGUUUCGGUGUCUCAGGGAUGGUUGUGAAAGAGUUUAGAAACAACCAUCUUGAUCAAAGAGAUAUAUAUUUCUAGGUUGAUGACUCAUGUUCAACAAAUUGAGGAAUAGAAGCUUAAAGAGAAUUCUAAGGAGACUAAUAGGGCUCAUAGUGUUGACUACUCUUAUUAGAGAUCCAGUGGUGAUAGCCAUUCUCAAUUCAAAAAAUGCAUUCAGGCCCGACUCCAUCUUCUGCUAGCAUUCUGAUGUAAUGUUCAACAAGGAUAUGGUGUCAAACCCUAAGUCUCAGAGUAGUGCUUUUAUUGGACAUUAUUUCCCUACCCACCAAAAGUAUGGUAAGAACCACUCAGGCAACUGUUUAGCCGGUACCGAUUGAUGAUAUGGUUGUGGUAAGGUUGGUCAUAGGUUGAGAGAUUGCCCUUCCCUUGCUAGGAAGGGGAGAGAUGGUCUUAACCCUAAACCAUAAACCCGAAACCCUAAACCCUAAACCCUAAACCCUAAACCCUAAACCCUAACCAUAAACCCUCACUACACCAUUUUAGGCCUAAGGCCACACUGAAUCUUGACAACACUUGUAAAGUGUUGCCUAAAACAUUUUUGGCUACGCUUUUAAAGCAUAUCCUUAGUUUUUACCAUUUGGCUACGGUAAUUUUGGCAACACUUAUAAAGCGUGCUCUUUAGUAGUAUAGGCUACACUUUAUAAGCAUUGCCACAUCAUGAUAUAAUUAGCAAUGCAUAUUUAUACAUAUGACUACGCUUUUAAAGUGUGAUAUUUUUAUAAUUCUUAAAACAACAUUUUACAAGUGUGGCCUUAUAAUUUUCCUAAAAUUUUCACCAAAAUAAUGUAUUCCCCCAAUAUAUUUAACUCUCCCUCCAAUUUCUAAUUGGUAAAUAAUAACCUCAAUAUAAACAUAACUCUAAAAACGUUUUACCCCAAAUUAAAAUGCUCUCCUAGUUACUCUUUGCCUAUAUCACUACUCAAAAAUUAAACCCUACUUUCACUCCUUCUCAUUUCCAUCCCAAAAAGUCUCCAUUGUAACUUUAUCGAUGUUUGGUUGUGAUUUCCUUAAUCGUGCUUCACCUUUAUGGGAGAGGCUAAAGAAAUAAUUUGAAGAAUUCCAGAUCUGUAGGAAUCGGAGAAUCUACAAGAACUCAGGUAAAAGCUUCUCUUUGUCCCAAUAUAGAGAGCUCUGGUAGGAGCAACACUUCCCAGAUCAAUCUAAGAAAUGAGUGCCCAAAUCACAUACGGAGGUUCAGUGAAGUUUCUGCUCACAAUUUUCUCUUCGGUUUCUGCUCAUACUUAUGCCGUUGGAUAGAACAAUCCAUUUCUAUGUUAAUUGCUCGUAAUAUUUUGAAAAAUAUUUAGACACUUUUAUGGUUCAGUUUUGGUUGCUAAUGUGUUUGAGAUGAAUAUUUGUUCAUUUCGUUUUUCUUACAGUACCCGACUAUAUUGUCUUAUGGUCCUCCUUGAAUGGGAAGAUGACGACCCUUUAGGGUUCUGUUUUGUACCCGCUUCUCAGGUAUGUUUAUGUUACAUGUGGAUUUUACUUGGGGGUUUCUCUACUUGAUGUUAAUUUAAUUAAGAAAUUUUUCGUAUGGUCGAUUGAUUAUUGAUUCUAUAGAUCUUGUUCCUGAAAGUCAAUUUAUAUUUUAGCCAAGAAAGUACUUUUUGAUGUCAAUUUCAUAUAGCAAAUUGUAGUGUGAUGAAAUUGAUUAUGAAAUAAGUCUAUAAAAAUCUGAUUUCUGUAAAUGUCUUCCAGCCACCUAAUGACCUAUAAUGCUAGUCGAAAUCCGAUUUAGUCUAGGAGUUUCUAUCUUACAUUGUUUCUAGUUUAGCAAUGAAAAACAAUUUCGUUCUUUUUUAAAUUCAAAGUGUAAAGAGGAAUAAGUUGGAACUUUUGAAAAAAGGUUCACUACUUUGGAGCAAUUUAACCUCCCUUUUUGUUUUCAAAGAAUUAUAUUAAGUAAUAAUAGAACUUUUGGACAUAUAUUUUCUUUAUACUAUUUAUAUUCUAGAAAUUGAAUGGACAUAAAACAACUUGCUGCCUUGCUUCAAAUUCUAGUACAUGUAUUCAAGCCUAGCUUAUCUUCUAGCUGCUGCUAGUUUCAUGUUUCUACACACAUUUUCUCUCCAUUAUUCAUAGAGUCAACUAGGAUUGUGUUGUUUAAAUGUAUUAGGAUAAGAAAAUAUAUUUACUUUCUUGAGUUUACAUCCAUAUGUUGUUUAAUAUUUUGAAGUCUACUUGAGUAAUGUAUAACGUACAUGCCUAUUGUUUUUGUCCGAAUCCCUACACUUAGUUGUAGCGAAUUCUUCCGGAAUAUGUCAACUAAUGUGACAAGUUUAAGAGAUGAGCACUUCCUUUUUUUAACAUUCUAAUAGGUAAAAUCCUCUACUGAACAAGAAUAUUCUUGUGGAGUUUCUUGUGUUGUUUUUGAGAUUAUAAAAUACAUUUUCCAAUGGACAGGUGGCUCUUAAUAUUCUCUAACAAAAGAGAAAUCAUAUUAUCAAACUUGGGCUUUAUGAGUUUAUGUUGCUUGAUUGUUUCCUUUUUUCUACCUUACUUUUUGUAUGUAUAUAUUUCAUCUUUCAGUGAAUUUUUCUUUAACAGACCCAAGUAGUAUUAAGUUUAGUAAUAUGGAGCUAAAUUCUAGUGAUGAUAGUUGUAUCAAUGUAGUUCAUACAAAAAUUAAGAACUUCUAUUCAUGUUGGUUCUAAUCGAUAAAGUUAAACUCAUGUCUUGUCUAGCUCAAUUUUUAAUGCAUUUUGAGCCUCUGUUUUACUUUGUUGUUUAAUGAGAUAUCUUCCUUACUCAUUUCAGUGGUUAUCAUUGCCCACCAUUUAAGAUCAAAAUCCUUGAUAAAGCAGAUUCAAUGACUCAUGAUGCUUGAGUAAGUUGCAUUACUUGUUUUUACUAUAAUCUACAUAAAUUUGACCUAACACUCGAAUUUGCAGAAUCAAGGCUUACUUUUUACUAAUAACCCAAUAUAAAAAUUAAUGUGACACUAUUUUAGGAGUUCAAACAUGAUAAUGUUACUCAUAGUAAGCAUGGAAAAUAUAAGAGAAAUCGGAUCAGUUAUGUUAACUAUAUUUCUCCUUUUUUUCGGUUAACAUUAUAAAAGAGUUGAUUAUUCUAAAUUGAUGUGACAGAGGGGGAGUAGUAUUUUUGUGAUUUCCUUUUGGUGUAAAGUAGAACUUGUAAAUGAAGUUGAGUCCAUGUUAUAGUUCAUAAAUUUACUGUAUACAUUGUCAGAGAUCUUUUGGGUUUUUGAUGUAAUGUUUUACACAAUCUUCAUGCUUUCCUUUUUGUAAUAUAUGUAGCAUUUAAACAAAAAAACUUUUUGUCGUGAGCUGAAGUAGGCUUGUGAAGACCUUAAGGAUUCUUUAUAACCUCCUUUAGCAUUUAAAAUCAAGGUUACUACAUGACUUGACAAUGUACUUGCUUAGUUGCUUAAUAUACUUAGUUACACUAGCAAUGCUAUGUUGAUUUUCUGCUGAAAAUCUUUUACUAUUUGAAGUUGACUUGUAACUCAGUAUUCGAGCACUUUUUUUUUUUGAGAAAGGUAACUUGUAUUAUAAACAACAUAUUUUAAAAAUAAAUGGAAUGUAGUAGAAAUCUGAAUUAACUUAUUGGAAGUAAACCUUCCUCUCUUGUUGAUAUACCCAUUUUGUCAGCUUAUUUCUGGACUUUCUGAUAAGCAUAUGCAAAAAGAUGAGCGAUUGAAGAACUUUCUUUUUUAGGUUUAGUUUUUGGUCUCAAAAUUAGAGUCGCUUAGCAUGAGAUUUUUUCAAGAUUCAUGUAUUUGAAUGAUUCUUCAUAUAAAUGUCACGGGGGAAAUAGGUCUUUUCAGACUGCCAAGAUCCCAAUCGUUGAAGGUUCUUCUGCAAAGUAUAUUUCAUUGAUUGUCCUCUCUGUUAUGUGCAAUUAUAGAACAGACCUUCCUAAAAUGCUGAAAAUUCAUCAGGCUUCUCCUUUCCAAACAACUGUAGAACAGACCUUACUAAGAAUACAUGGACUUAGUAACACCUGAAAAAAAUGCAAAUAAUGAAAACUUUUUACUUGCUUCUAGCAUUCUACUUUUGGAUUAGUAGAUUACCAGGCUUAGGGAAGUGCCUUUGUUUUUUCCCUCUAUUGUAGAUUAAGUUAAGCGAUAACCAUUCCAAGUUAAUUGCAUUGUUGUUUUUCAGGUUUGGUUGAGAUCAUGUGGCAUGGCAUCAUUUUACAUCUCUUUUGAUGUGAAUAUUUCUAGAGAUCUCCACCGAGCCUGCUCUCGUAAUUGGGGGAUGCUUUGUCUUGGUAGCAUUGAUCCUAUCACUUCUCUUAAUUUUUCAGCAUCUCAGAUAUUAUACUAAUCUGGCGGUGAGUUCUCAAUUUAGGUAUACAUGGACUACUCUUUAUUCUAAUUUCUUAGAAUGUAGGAUCUAAAUUUGUGUUUGCUUAUCAGGAAACAAAAAUGGACCGGUGGGGGUCAUUUUCAUGGUUCCUGUCUAUGCCACUUAAUUAGUAAGGAUAUAGACCAGUGAAAGGGACUAUGAUUUCUGAAUUGUAAAUUGAGACAUAUAUCCAGUAGAUAAGGUUCUAAUUGGAUAUAAUAUUAUAAUGUCUUCCUGCAUCUUUCACUAUUUUACGAGAUACACUAUCUUUAAAUGCAACAUUCAUGAUUAAACUGAUUGCCUAAAGCAACAACGUAAAUUAAUCUUUAAAGCUGAUGCAAAGUUUCUAAAUAAGUAACUUCAAAUUCUCAUGAGUUAAAUGAAUUGGUUCUCAUCUUUUACAGAUUGUAUCCUUAUGGAACCCAAAAUUUUCCCUUGCAUGCGACAUAUUGAGGAAUUGCUAUGAAGCAUUCACACUCUAUUCUUUUGGUAGUUACCUGAUUGAUUGCCUUGGUAAGCAUGAUAUCUAUUCCCAAUGAUGUUGCAAAAAUACGAAAGAUAUCUCAAUAACUUCCUAUGAUUCUUGUAUAACCAGAUAACAGUGAAUCAAAAUAUCUGAAAUGUUUUGAUAUUUUAACCAUACCUAGUGAUCAACAUUAUGGCUUCAAGCCCUACAUUUAAACUUUACUUCACAAUCAUCAUACUAGUCUAGAUUUCAAGGCACAUUAGCCCUAAGCCUUAGUCAUAAGUCAAUUCUAAGCAUAAUUCGUCAAGAGUCCCAAUUCUUAAUCAUUUCAAUUCAUAUUAUAACAUACAUGCAUAAGUCUAGUCAAUUAUGAUCUCGUAUUCACAUCCUUGGAUAUACUCCAUACAUAUCAACAACCCAAGAGAAUCUAACAAAAUCAUCAAUUCCUUAUCAAAAGAUCUAAACCCACAUACUUGGAAAUUAGGGUAAAUCAAGGAAUUCACAUAAAUUCUUCAUAAUAUCAUGAAUCAACAUCAAUUUAAUCAUAUAUGAGUAGAAUCCAACCGUUUGGAAUCAUACCCACCUAAAACCCAUGCAUUGGAAGUAACCCUACCUUCAUUGGGGUUCUUCUUCACAAAUUAGGGGAAAUUCUAGGGGACUCUAUGGGUGAAAGAACCCAUAGAUGAAGAGCUAAACAUACCUUGAACAAAACCCUAGCACAAGCCUUUAGCAAUAAACCCUUUGUUCUUGACCCUAGCUUCAACCCUAGCUUCUUCUUCAAUGAAUGUUCUUCUUUGAGAGAGAAAUAUUUGAGAGAGGAGUGAUUUGGGGCUUUGAAUUGUGUCUAAUGCAAAGUGACUUAAUCUUGGGGGAUAAAUACUUAAAAUAGUCUCAAUAGGUGAAUAAAAGACAUACAAAACGACCCCCCACAUAAACCUAGUCGCAUAGGAAUUUACUCAAAUGUCACUCAACUUAGCUUCUCUGUCCAGUGGUCACACCCACUUGUACGGACCGUGAAAGGGGACCACGACCCGUGCUGGUUCCUGUGUUCCUCUAAGAAGUAGCUCCCCCAAAUUUCCAAGGCCCUCAAUCACCCUAAAACACGUGUGUCUAAGGGAUAUUCAAGGACCCCUUCACGGACCGUGGUCCACACCACUGGUCGUGAAGGUGGUCGUGAACUCUUAGGCAGUGGCUGCCAAGCUUGGGCAGCCUUGGCCCUUUGGCUUAGGCUUGCCCUUUUGCCUUGGUGGCUGCCCUUUCCAUGCACCACCAAACACCUAUAGGUCAUCUAGGCUACUAGGUCUAAUGCACACCUUGAUGCCCUACCAUUAAAAUCCUCAUUCACAACACAUAAAGUCUCAUCUACGAAACUAUUUCACAUACGACACACCAUAGAACCCUAGCUCUUGGCUCUAGUUUGGUCUAAUAGUUUCCGGGGUGUUACAAAAUGAAUGAACAAACAGGUCAAAGGCAACAAACUAAAGGCAAAGAAGGGCAGUCAGGUAUACCAAUUAGGAAAAAUAUUAGUCAAUCUGAUGCUACUAACACUGAGGCUCAUUUACACAAUGUGGUAAAUGAGCAAAUCAGUAGAACUGUUGAAUUGUCGAAACAGGUAAACAAGCAGGUUCAAAAAGACAAGGAGGGCCAAAAGGAUCAGAAUAAGGAAAUAAAUCAACAGGGCGGAACAAAUGGACUUCAACAGGGCAAUGGUAGAUCCAACAUGGUUUAUCAGAACAACUUCCCUAAGAUCUCCAACAAUUAUACUAGGUAUGAUCCUAACCUUCAGAGGAAUACAAAUGCUACUCACCAAGAUAACAAUAAUAUAACUUAAGGCAAUGUGAAGCAACCAAACAAUCAACAACUUGGUCAGGCCCAUAAUAAUGUUAAACAGGACAUAGUUCCUAAACCUGCGCCUUUCACUAUUGUCCAAUCCUUUGCUGCUCGUCUAAGAUAUAACCAGUCCAAGAAUGAAAUCCCUAUUGUGUUGGAUAGUAUCAUAUUUACCACGAGACAGGGGCUGCCUGCAGUGCGGUUAGAAGAGGAUGAUUAUAAUAUUAAACUUGCUGAAAGCUUUAAACACACCUUAGUGGGAAAAUUCACCAACACCAUGCCCAAAAUGGAGAUCAUUAGGAAACGUUUUACUUUUCAGACUCAGCUAACUGGGGGAGUAAAAUAACUCAUUAUAACUCUAGACAUGUGUAUAUUGAUCUUGAUAAUGAGUUUGAUUAUGUUACGAUUUGGACUAAACAAAGGAUGAGUAUAGAAGGUCAAUUGAUGAUGAUCCAAGCAUGGACUCCUGAAUUUACACCGAAAGAAGAAACCCCUAUAGUCCCAUAUGGGUAGUCUUACCUGAACUCCCAUUGCAUUAUUAUAACAAGGUCCUCUUGACGACUAUUUUGAGCCCCAUUGGUAUGGUUUUAUAUCUUGACUCACCUUCCUCUCAGAAGACUAGAGGCAGCAUGGCCAGGGUGAAGAUUCAAAUUGAUCUUACCAAGGAAAGACCUCCCCAUGUUUUGGUGGGAUUUAAGAAUUCUAACCCCAACAAAGGAAAGUGGAAAAAAGCUCAUUAUGAAGGAAUCCCGGAUUAUUGUAUGUAUUGCAAACACCAAGGGCAUAUGGAUAAUGUUUGUACUAUCAAAAUAAGAGAUGAGGACUUGAAAAAAAUGAAAGAAAUGGAAGCUGAAAAAAGGAACAAGACUAAGGGUGAGCAAGAGAAAUGAUGCACAAAAAUCAUACAGGUUCAUGACAGUGAUAUAUCAAGGGCAACUACAAGUUCACAAGUUCAACAUCAUCCAGUUAAAAAGAGGGAGACUCAUAUACAGAAUCAACAUGAGUAGGAAAUAUUUGAACAAGAAGAACAAUGGCAGAUUCAUAAAAGAAAGCAAAACAAAAAUCAGGAACAACCCAACCCCAAGGCUGCAUAGAGACCUGUCUCACCUCAACAUAAAGGAACUAAAGACAACAGGCAAAAGGAGCCAACACCAUCAGGUAUGCUAACUACAAUUCAUACUCAUAAUAAUUAUAUUAAUAUAGAAAUGCAGGAACAACAAGACAAAGGCAAUGCCGAGGAAGGCCACAACAGCAAAACUUCAGGCCAAGAAAUACAUUCAUUACAAGGGUCAGAGAUGGAUCCAUCCCUAUUAAAUUUUCACAAUAACAUAAGUAUGCAAGAAAAAUAGGCUGCAGCCAGCACAAGAAACAAGACCAUAUGUAUUGACUCAGUUCUCCCUAUACCCCAUUCCCCUUAUACUAAAUUUAUUGAGAAUGGUGUAAUCGCUGAUGAAGUUACUGGAGGUAUAGAUGGGGGGUGUAAGUAUAAUCCAACUAACUUGCAGGAAGGGGUUACCAAAGGGUGGAGUUUUACUCAUGUUCUGCAUGAGGUUAUUCACAUCGACCAUAGUACAUACCUUAGACCUCCUGCUACCACUACUCCAAUGAAGAAUACUCAGAAUACUCCUAAAAAACAUAGCCAAAUUCAGGGGGUCAACUCUGAGCAGGUCCAAAGAGAUUCAGGUGUCAAGGAAGCAGAAAAGGGUGCUAAGGCUCAAAUUCAGGAAGCUGGUAACAAUUUGAAGGGUGCUGGUAACUCUCAUAUUCAGCAGUUGUUAUGGGUUACUAAUGUUGAAGGUACUCCUAACAAACAACAAUGAAGGGAUAACAAUAUUGACAUAGAGGAGUAGAAACACCAACCUAGUAAUGAGAACUCAGGGAAGCAUACCAACAAUAGAUCACAAGGCAGACCAAGUAAGAAAAAAAGGGAAGCUAUUAAGAGAAAACAACAACAAGAGGCUGAAAGAAAUGACAAGACUGAUCAGGGCAAGAGGGUUAGAGGAAAUCAGAAUCAGCAACUACAUACAUGCAUGGCUAAUCAGAAAUCAGAUUAUGAUGUUUUAAACUCUGAGGAUGAAUUUGAUGAAGACACUCAUUCUCUUAAUGAAGAGGAAGAGGAUGUGGAUGUGGAUGUGGAUGGGGAUGAGACUAGUGCUCACCUGAUUAAGGCCUUUGGAUCCACUUUCCAAAGUGAGUCUCAAGCAGAAAUCCAAACAGUUGCUGAUCAACAAUGUCUAUCACCUAGAGGGAGAAAACAAGUCAGACAGCAAACCAGACAAGCAUCUAUGAGCACAUCUGCUAAUUCUAGCAGACCCAACACUAGGUCCAAAAGCAAAGGUUUUUAAUGAUUAAAGCCAUGUGUUGGAAUACUAGGAGUAUCAAUACCAAAGGAUCCUUGGAAAGAGUCCAAAAUCGCAAGAAAAUUCACAAUCUCUCUAUGAUUGCAAUUCUUGAACCUUUCUCUAAUAACUCCCAACUAAACAACUACAAACUUCAACUCAAUAUGGACAAUGCCUUCUCUAACCAAAAUGGUAAGAUUUGGAUUUUUUGGACUAUUGACUAUGAUUGUAACAUUUUAGAAUCUGAUGAUCAACAAGUGACCUGUGAGAUGAAACACACAAGGAGCCUUGAGAAAUUCAGGAUCACAUUUGUUUAUGCCAAGUGUAAGGAUGAGCUUAGAAGGCCUUUGUGGGACAGAUUCAUUCACCUAUCCACUGUGAAAAUUCUUUGGUGCACAAUGGGUGAUUUUAAUGUGAUCACAUCUAUUGAUGAAAAGAAGGGGGGAAUACCUUACAAUAUGAACAAGAGUUUUGAGUUCAUCAGCGUGAUAGAAGAAAGUGGGCUUAUUGAUCUGGGGUACAGUGGUUCUCAAUUCACUUGGUGCAAUAACAGGGCUGAAGAAGCAAAAGUGUGGAAGAGACUUGAUAGGGCCAUGGCUAAUGACCAAUGGUUAGAAAGAAUGCCUUAGAUUGUUAUCACACACCUGCCCUCAGUAGGGUCUGAUCACAGUCCUUUAUUACUAGAAAUGAUUGACAAACAGGAACACACUAUCAAAUACUUCAAGUUCUUGCAUUUAUGGAUGGAAAAUGAAACAUUCAUGAGCACUAUCCAAAACUGUUGGGAAAGAGAAGUUACAGGGGAUCCUAUAUGGUGUCUGCACCAAAAGCUGAAGAGGCUGGCUUCUACUCUCAGUUCUUGGUCCAAAAGAGAAUAUGGGGAUAUCUUUGCUACUGUGAAAGAGUUUGAAGAAAAGGUUAGAAAUGCAGAGACAGAGGUGCUUCACAAUAAUACUGCAGACAAUAGGACAAAGCUCCAAUGUGCUAAUGCUGAAUACAUUAAAUUUAUGAAAAUGGAGGCUGCUAUUCUUAAACAGAAGACUCAACUUCAGUGGUUCAGGGAAGGAGAUGCUAAUACAAAAUAUUUUCAUGCUCUCAUGAGCGGAAGAAAGAGGAAGUUAUUCAUCCACCAGAUCAAUAAUGAAGUGGAGAAUGGAUACCAGGAGAUGUUAAUAUUGCUAGGGCUGCCUGUGAGCAUUUCCAAAACAUUUUCACAGGCCACCAGGAUAACAUCAAUGAGGAGAUCCUUCAAUGCAUUCCUAGACUGGUCACUGAGGAACAAAAUCAGGCUCUAAAAACUGACCCUACUGUUGAAGAAGUGAAACAGGUGGUGUUUGCCAUGAAUCCUCAUUCAGUAGCAGGACCUAAUGGUAUGAAUGGGAAAUUUUUCUAGGUGUGUUGGGACAUCAUCAAAGAAGACCUUUACAGAGCAGUGCUAGCCUUCUUUUUUGGACACAGUAUGCCUAAAUACAUGACUCAUGCUUGUUUUGGUUCUUCUUCCAAAGAUCGAUCAUCCCAAAAAACUGUCUGAAUUCGGGCCUAUAAGCUAGAGAAACUUCUUAAAUAAGAUCAUUUCCAAGCUCCUUAGUAUCAGACUUGCUCCCAUCUCAUUUCAAAAUAUUAGAGUGGGUUUGUAAGAGGCAGAAGUAUUUCGGAGAAUAUUAUGUUGGCUCAGGAAAUCAUUCAUGGCAUCAAGAAGCCCAAGUAGGGGGAUAAUGUAGUGAUCAAGCUAGACAUGGCCAAGGCAUAUGAUAUAGUGUCCUGGGCUUACACUUGUUUGGUUAUGAGGAAAAUGUGUUUUAGUGAGUUCUUCAUUGAUAUGAUAUGGAGGAUUAUGAGCAACAACUGGUACUCUGUUAUCAUUAAUGGAGUCAUGCAUGGCUUCUUUCACUCUACUAGAGGGUUGAAACAAGGUGAUCCUUUGUCACCAGCCCUAUUUAUUUUAGGUGUUGAAGUACUUUCAAGGAUGCUGAACAAUCUUUAUUUGAAUCAGAACUACCAAGGUUUUCAUAUAGAACCUAUAGGUCCUCAGAUAAACCAUCUUAGCUUUGCAGAUGAUGUUAUUAUUUUUACCUCAGGAAAAAGACUUGCUAUUCAGAUUAUUAUGAAGACUCUGACUACAUAUGAACAUGUGUCUGACCAGCGUAUUAAUAGAGACAAGAGCCACUUCAUGCUUCCUAUAGAUUCUCAUCAAGACAUUGCUGAAAUGAUUAAGGAGGAAUCUGGAUUUACACAGAAGGACAAUCCCAUUAGCUAUUUGGGACGUCCUUUGUACAUUGGGGGGUAGAGAAGUAUCUACUACUCUUAGCUGGUUGAUAAGGUAGCUAAAAGGAUUAGUGGGUGGCAAGCUAGGAUGCUGAACUUUGCGGGUAGAUUAAAUCUAGUGAAGCAUGUCCUCCAGUCCAUUCCCAUUCACACCAUGGCUGCUAUUUCCCCUCCCAAAACCACCCUUCAAUACAUUAAAAGAUUAACUGCAGAUUUUUUCUGGGGAAGAGAAAAACACAAGAAAAAAUAUCACUGGGCAUCCUGGGAGAACAUCACCUUUCCUUAUGAUGAAGGUGAUCUGGAGGUAAGACACCUCAAUGAUAUAUGCACUUCCUUCCGGUAUAAAUAGUGGUGGCACUUUAGUAGUACUAAUUCUUUAUGGGGGCAAUUUAUCAAGGCCAAGUAUUUUCAAAGAGCUAAUCUUGUUGCUAAGAAGUAGGAUACGGGUUAGUCUUUGGUUUGGAAAUAUAUGAACCAAAACAAACCCAACGUAGAAGAACACAUCAUUUGGAAGAUUCACUCUGGUACUUGCAGCUUUUGGUGGGAUGAUUGGCUAGGGGAAGGCCCUCUUGCUCACCAUACCAAUGAAAGCACUAGGCUCAACAACACUACUGUUUCUCAAUAUAUUCUUAAUGGAGGGUGGAAUGAAAAUAUGGUUAGACAACAUGCACCUCCCUUGAUGGUCCCAAAGAUUUUAAAUGUGCAGAUUCAGUUUCAAGAAGGUGUUGCAGACUAACCUAUCUGGAAACUUACUGAUAAUGGAAGAUUCACUUGUGCUUCUGCAUGGGAGAGUAUCAGAACUAAAAGGCCCAAAAUCAAGUUGUACAAUUAUAUUUGCCACAUACAUAUUCCCUUCAAGGUCUCCUUUUUAUUAUGGAGAGCCUUGAGAGGGAAACUUCCUACAAAUAACAAAACAACUUCAUUUGGAGUGGCUCCUGUUAAGUGUUCCUGCUGCAUCAAGUUUGGAUGGGAUAUGAUUGACCACAUCUUUGUGACUGGACAUUUCGCUAACCACAUUUGGCAAUUUCAUUCAGCUAUAUUUGGAGUGAGGCAGGACAUAGUUCCUUUGAAGAAUCUGAUCACGAGAUGGUGGACCAUGGAAUACAAAAAUGAAGUACAAAAACUUUUGUAUCAUGCAAUGCCUAUUAUCAUCAGCUGGAACCUUUGGAAGAACAGGUGUUCAUCUAAAGAUGGAGGGAAACAUUCUAACACUACAAGAGUCAAAUUCAUGAUCCUCAAAGACACUUCCCUCCUUCUCAAUACUUUCUUUCCCUCUAUGAAAUGGCCUUGGUCUUGGCAUGAAUUGAUCAGUUAUGUUCAACAAUGCUCUCAUGAAAUAUGAGUCAGGCCUAUCACCUGGGCUAAACCUCCUGUUAACAACUGUAAAUUGAUCACUGAUGGUAGUGCAUUAGCCAAUCCUGGCAAGAUAGGAGGGGGUGGCAUUCUUAGAGAUCAUGUAGGGGACCUUAUUUUUGCUUUCACAAUACCUCUUGGUACAGGCACCAAUAAUCAGACAGAGGUCCAGGAUGCUCUUUUUGGUUUGAACUAGUGCUAUCAACAUAGCUACAUGAAAGUGGUGUUGGAAGUGGAUUCAGAACUCCUCACUCAUUGGCUAAACCUUAAUAUCAACCCUCCAUGGAAGAUACAACAACAUGUUAAGGAGCUGCAGAAUCUCAUUCAACUGAUGGAAGCAUUUCAAUGAUUGCAUACUUACAGGGAAGCCAACACUAUGACUGACUUUCAAGACAAAUUGAGCCACGAGAUAGACAUUCCUCAACUAUUUUACACUCUUAACCAACUACAUGUUCCAGUUAAAGGAAGCUACUUAUUGGAAAGGAUGGGCAUGAUCAAUUUCAGAAGAAGGAAGCUGAAAAGAAUAAAAAAAGAGCCUUGAAUAACUCUUUACAUGUCUUUUAUCCGUUUCAACUUGACUAUGUCUAAUAAUAGGUAUAGUUGGUUUGAAUAUGCUCUUUUUAUUCUCUUCCCUUUUGUAAGGGGAGAGUCUCCCUUAUUUACGCUUUCCUAGUAUCUUUGUAUAAAGAGGAGUCCUCUCCUUAGGUGCUUAACUUCAUGGUUCUGUGACUUUAGGCGAUCAAGGUUGAUGUCGCCGAGUCGAUCGGCGAUCUGCCGAUUGUUUAUUUUUGUCGCCAAGUAGGUUCUUCCCCAGGGCUGGAACGCUGGAACUUUAGGCGAGCUAAAGAGACACACAUCGGUUCACCUAGUUGUCUUGGCGAUCACUAGGACUGCCUUCCUUCAACUUCUUCAGAGUUUCGCUCCUUUUUGCCCGAUAAUGUCCUUGCCUUGCUCCUAAGCCUUCAUUGCUGCAAAUAGCCAGUUUAACAUUAGUUUAGAGCAUAAAUUAAGCAUUUGAGGACACUUAAACCAUGAAAAAAAA
rnacentral:lncRNA from 1 species